GUUCUGGGACACCUCCAGUACCAACCAGCCCUGGCCACCUUCCAGAAUCAGCGUACACACAGACAGGUUCUGGGACACCUCCAACACCAACCCAGCCCUGGCACACUGUCAUUUUUCUCCCCUGCUUUCUUUUCUGUAUUUUUGGAAUUCCUAUUAACAUGAUCUUGCACUUCAUGAAUUGUGUUUUGUAUGUUCAUGAUAUAAAAAUUCUGUGGUGAAAUCAAACUGAUAUGUGACUUUUAACGGAAUAGUGAGUCAAUGUGAUGAGUAAGAGGAUACGUUGACCGGUAGAACUAGUGAUGUUUUAACCCAGAGUGUCGUGCGUUUCGUCUUGCUUCCCGCUUCAGAAUUUGGCGUGCCGUCCUCAGUGGACCUGGUCUGCAGUGACCCGCCCACAUGGUGACAUCGUUCACCAGCGGUCAGAUUGGCCUCUUCAACAUGGAGACACAGCAACUGGUUCUCAGCCUGGAGUCUGCUGCAGAGACGGGUACCCGCUGUCUGAUCAACAAGGGCUGAGUCACCCCACCCUCCCAUCACCAUUCACCGCUGAAAGAGGACAGACACAUCAAGUUCUUUCGACAACAACACAGGAAAGCUGAUCCACUCAAUGGUGGCCCACCUGGAUGCUGUUACCAGUCUAGCUGUCGACCCCAACGGGCUCUAUCUGAUGUCUGGCAGUCAUGACUGCUCUAUUCGUCUGUGAACCUGGAAACUAAGACGUGUAUCCAGGAGUUUACAGCUCACAGGAAGAAGAAUGAUGAGUCUAUCCAUGACGUGGCCUUCCACCCCUCUAAGGCCUACAUCGCUCCGCCGGGCCGACGCUCUCGCCAAGGUGUUCGUAUGACAGGGACCAAUCAGCCCACCGACACAGCCUCCAGCACCAGGGUCAAUAGAGACACAGGAGGGGCGGACCGUAAAAAGGGCGUGUGAGGUUCCCACGCAGACUUUCCCUCACACAUAUCACUUCUCACACUACUGGUUCCUGUUUUGACUGGUGGAUGAUGCAGCAAUAGCCACUUCAGCCCAGACUUCUAGGCCCGCCUCCAGAGGGAUAGGGCAGGGCUGUGGUUGGCUCAGCAGGUCUGUUAGGGAACUGCGAUUGGGCACAAGACUUCCUCAUCCCUGUGCAAUCCAGGCAGGCCCUUGGGUAUGACCGGCCACAGAGACCCUCUUUCUCGAUCCGGGGGCCAAUGAACACCCACACAGACUGAUACUAUUGUCUCUAUGCUCUGCUCUUCCCUUCACAGCUAGCGAGGGCGUUGAAGACAGACAGGGUCUUCCCUUCACAGCUAGCUGAGGGCGUUGAACACAGACAGGGUCUUCCCUUCACAGCUAGCGAGGGCGUUGAAGACAGACAGGGUCUUCCCUUCACGCUAGCGAGGGCGUUGAACACAGACAGAUGUUUUUAUAGUGUAGACUCCUAGAGAAGGUGGAGCACCAUGCCCUACCCCCUCCUCAUGUCGUCAUGCCCAUUAACCAGAAACCCCAAGCCCCCCCCCCCCCAUUUCCCCAAUCUCUAGGCCCAGACUUCUCCCCUCAGAUCAGGUAGACUGUCUGCUCUUGGUCCUCCUCUCCUUCUCCUCCAAGUCAGUUUCAUGAUGGAGAUUGCUGGCUGUCUUGGAUGAAGCAUCUCGCUUUUCCCCUUUCUGCUUCCAAGCUUGACUCUGUCUCCCCAGUCUCUGCCCACCCGCCAGCCAGCCAGUUUUCUCUGCUUUCUUUUAAAAAAUACUUAUUGAAAAUGUGCCUUUGCUUUAAAAAAAAAAAAAAAAAAAAGGUCUUGAAACAAAAGUUAUUUUACAGAGCAUCUGUUUUUGCGGGGGCGGGGGAGGGGGAGGGGGGAGACAGAGUUGAUAGGGCAAGGUUGUCACGAUGGUGUCCAUUUUAACAAAAAAUAUUGGAUGUAGGAUUUCAAAUACUUAUAAUAAACAAAAUAUAUAUUAAGUCUUAAAACUGACUGUGCUGAAGUGAGUUUGAGUGCUCAUUUURUUUUAUAUAUAUAAAAAGCAUGGGUGGAAAUAAGCCUUGUCCCAGAUCUGUUUGUUCUGUCUUGCCAGAGACCAUAUAGGAGUUGAAAAGACUGCACUAACAGGUCUGGGACCAGGGUAGAAGGGAAUCGGCCAAACCGGGCAGAGCUAAUACAGACGAUCAAGUUAAUAUUUCCUAUUUGUUAGAAGAAUUCCUUGUUAUAAAACUGUGUACACUGCAACAACAAAAAGUUCAAUUACAAAUACAUGUUUCCAAUCCAUCUGGUUCUACAAUAGGAGGUUUAAGUAUGUAGUAACAGAUGUUGGUUCAUCUUUACAAUACCAGCCACUGAGUUUGGUCUGCAGUGUGCUCAGUGGCCACUAAGUCUCAGAGUAGGGGGUUAGCAUCUCAAAUGACACCCUAUUCCCUAUAUAGUGCACUCAUUUUAGGGUCCUGGUCAAAAGUAGUGCACUAAUAUAGGGAAUAGGGUGCCAUUGGAGAUGCUAUCCCCGAGAGCUGUAUUUACAGUAUACGCUGUAGUACAGUACAAUAUGUUAUAUUCGUACAACAGGCAACUCAUUUUUAGUUCCACAAAUCCAUCCAAAUAUCCAUGUAAACUUACAAGUUCAAAUGAGCUAUUUUCUCAGACUGUAACAGUCACUGGUUUGUAUAUGAAAAGUCUGUUCUCAUUAAAACUGCUGUAAAAAUG